rnacentral:misc_RNA from 1 species
GAUGAAGAACGUAGCGAAAUGCGAUACGUAGUGUGAAUUGCAGAAUUCAGUGAAUCAUCGAAUCUUUGAACGCACAUUGCGCCCCCUGGUAUUCCGGGGGGCAUGCCUGUCCGAGCGUCAUUACAACCCUCAAGCUCAGCUUGGUAUUGGGCCCCGCCGACCCGGCGGGCCCUAAAGUCAGUGGCGGUGCCGUCCGGCUCCGAGCGUAGUAAUUCUUCUCGCUCUGGAGGUCCGGUCGUGUGCUCGCCAGCAACCCCCAAUUUUUUUCAGGUUGACCUCGGAUCAGGUAGGGAUACCCGCUGAACUUAAGCAUAUCAAUAAGCGGAGGA